UACGUAGGGGGCUAGCGUUGUCCGGAAUCAUUGGGCGUAAAGCGCGUGUAGGCGGCCCGGUAAGUCCGCUGUGAAAGUCGGGGGCUCAACCCUCGGAUGCCGGUGGAUACUGUCGGGCUCGAGUACGGAAGAGGCGAGUGGAAUUCCUGGUGUAGCGGUGAAAUGCGCAGAUAUCAGGAGGAACACCAAUUGCGAUGGCAGCUCGCUGGGACGUAACUGACGCUGAGACGCGAAAGCGUGGGGAGCAAACAGG
rnacentral:rRNA from 1 species